rnacentral:misc_RNA from 1 species
AAACUUUGGCACGUGCGAAUGUUGCUGCCACAAUAACAAGAUAUUGUUACCUAACACAAUGUCAUCCAUAAAACAACUAAUUUUCAUCAUUGAAAAUAUAACAGUUCAUCGACCAGGAUUAGUGAGUCACCGGUCACGUUCACAAAGUAAAAAGAUAUCUCAUUGCUACAAAUUGGGUGAAUCAAGGCAUGCUAAUAAACCAGGAACAAAACAAUAGAAAGAUCCAAAAUUCAAAGUAGCUUCAAAUAUCUGAAAAUGAGAGAGGCUGCCUUACACCACCAUGAUAACCAUAUAUCUUAAUAUUUCCAGAGCACAGAAGAUGAUAAAGGCCACAUUCCAACAAUGCAGUAUAUUAGUCACCUCUUAUUCUGUUUAAUGAUUUAAAAUUAGAUCUACAUCUCCCAACAAGCCUCAGAUAUAAAGCAACUUAAAUCAUACUGACAGCACAACUGAGGCUGGAAUAGCCUAUUUGCUAUUAAAAGAAAAUGUUGCAAACAAGGAGGGAAAAAAAAAGCAAUGCAUGAUUGAACAUAUUACAUUUUUACAACAAAAGGUGGGGAUGAAAUUGAAUGCAUAUAAAAGUAAAAUUUAAAUAUAAGUCAUAACUAAAAAAUCUGUUUGAACCAGGAUUAUACAAUAAUAUUAGCACCAUCUGGUAAACUAGCUUGUGGACAUUACAUGUCUGCACAUGUAAAAUACAUAUCAAGAUUACUUCAAAUUGUAGUCUGAUGAAUAACCCCACCUGUGCCAUCAAAACUAGAGCUGAGAUUGUGUUUUUCCUGUCAACAGGAAAAUUCAGCACGUAAAGGAGAAACAGGUGUUGAUGAGGAGAAGUGACAUGCAAUUUGAAUACUACGAUAGAAACAAUUAGUUUUAUGUCUAUAUGCAAUCUAUGAUUGUGGAGUCCUCUUCAGCAUUUUCAAAUAGCUUAUCAGAUAAACCAGUGAAAGGAAAAAGAAAAUGAGACGGGAUUUCAGUCUAGCAAAUUCAACUGAUAUUUCCUUUUCUAGGCCCCUGAAAAUCUUUCAGCUCAAUCUCCAAACUAAAUUCAUUUAUCAGUGUGACAUCAGAAAUAGUUAAAGCAAUGAAUUAGAUAAAAAUUAGGAUCAAGAUGAAAAAAAAUUAUAACUCAAUUGUGAAACAAGUACCAAUUUGGUUUUCAACUUAUGAAUACUUCUAGUAGCUAGAACUACAGGCUGACCAGGGUAAGAAAAUCCAUGUAAUACAGGAAAAGAACCAAUCCUUCAUCUGCACAUCAAGUAUGCUCGUGCACUGUGAAGUGUAAUUAGUCUAUUCACCUUCUGAGAGAUGCAUGAUCUAUCCAGACUAUCCAUGCUUCAUCUUAGAGGUAGCAAACUAGCAGCUGGGACAAAAAUGGAUCAAUAAAGAGCUAAAUUUUAAAGAACUUAUGAAUUGAAGUGCAAUAGUUGCAUGUUACUUCAUUCUUUCUCUACCAGUAAGUCAUAAUUUUGAAUUGAAUCACACCAUUCAAUCUUUUCAUUUGAUCCUUUUGUCCAUGGUUGAUUUGGAUUCUUUCUACUUUUCUCAAUUUGCUAAUCAUGGUAGUAAGUUGAUCAAGCACCUAAACUAUACCAGAAUGAUGUUCUCUGUUUUGAUUGAGGGGAAGCAUUACUACAGCAUACACAAAAUUAUUACAAAGAAAAUAAGUUAUCCCCCAGUUCCCCUGGUGAAAUAUAGAAAGCCAAUCCAAAAACAUGAAUCUACUCGGUACUUUUUUUUAUACGUGUCUAUUGGAAACACAGGAAGUUAUUCUUGUUGGUCAAUCUCAUCAAUUUCAUUCCUUCAUGAUUUUUAAAUUGAGUUAGUUUGACAAUUUCAACUACCUUCUAGUGACACGGCUGAUUACUGUCAUUUCACUCCAUUUAAAAUCACCGGCUGUGUGUCUUAUAGUUGGACAACCAGACUAAAGCAGACCAACUUUAACCCAUAGGCCUGCAAAUGCGUCUUUCCUUAUGUGUUACUCUUAGGAUGUGUUUGGCAGAAAG